rnacentral:tRNA from 1 species
GCCGGAGUGGUGGAAUGGCAGACACAAGGGACUUAAAAUCCCUCGGCCCAAAAGGCUGUACCGGUUCAAGUCCGGUCUCCGGCACCA